rnacentral:rRNA from 1 species
CUAGGUUUGACGUAGUGGUAGUAGUGAAGUGAAAGCGGAACGACCCUUCGGGGAGCCAUUACAGGUGCUGCAUGGCUGUCGUCAGCUCGUGUCGUGAGAUGUUGGGUUAAGUCCCGCAACGAGCGCAACCCUCGUCGCUAGUUACACGUGUCUAGCGAGACCGCCGAUAUCAAAUCGGAGGAAGGUGGGGAUGACGUCAAGUCAGCAUGGCCUUUAUGCCUAGGGCGACACACACGCUACAAUGGCUGGUACAAUGAGCAGCGAACGGGUGACCUGGAGCGAAUCUCAUCAAAGCCAGUCGUAGUUCAGAUUGUAGGCUGCAACCCGCCUACAUGAAGCCGGAGUUGCUAGUAAACGCAGGUCAGCCAUACUGCGUUGAAUACGUUCCCGGGCCUUGUACACACCG